rnacentral:ncRNA from 1 species
AUAAAGGCGUUUAUGAGGACGUGACAAAGUUUUGGCAGCACAGAGAGCCGUCGGUUGGUGUAAGGCGGUAUGCGGAUUUUGUCUUAUCACCUUCCAGUCGCCCGACAGAACGGAAACUAUUAAGUCGGGACGGGCGCUCCCGUUACAGAGCAACGCAUUGAUGGAUGCGUAAGUGGCUGUUAAAGCAAUUUGAGUGGUACCGCGGAUUAAUUCUCCGUCUCAAAA